CACGUAGGGGGCGAGCGUUGUCCGGAUUCAUUGGGCGUAAAGAGCUCGUAGGCGGCUCAGUAAGUCGGGUGUGAAACCCUCAGGCUCAACCUGGGGACGCCACUCGAUACUGCUGUGGCUAGAGUCCAGUAGGGGAGUGUGGAAUUCCCGGUGUAGCGGUGAAAUGCGCAGAUAUCGGGAGGAACACCAGCGGCGAAGGCGGGUUGCUGGGCUGACACUGACGCUGAGGCGCGAAAGCCAGGGGAGCGAACGGG
rnacentral:rRNA from 1 species